UCGAUACAGGCUAGGCUAGCUUAGCAGAGUUCCUUUUCGUUUCGCGAUAGUGCAUGCCUCCAGAUUCCAACAUGGAUAAAGCGGUGAACCACACAACCGUUGGAAAGUUCUUCCUUUUUCUAAUGACAGUGACGUUUUUGUUAUUCUACAUAUUCUACAUGUACAAGCAAGUCCCGAUGCCUCUUAAACAUUUAGGGAUACCAAUUCACGACAGACCAUGGCCCCACAGCUAGCCAGUUUGGAUUUCGGGACAGACAUUUUUAAUAAAAGUGUGUAUAUUUGUGAAUAUGUGUGUGCUUAGAAAUUAUGUGCAUUUAGAUUUGUGGAUAUUUCUGUAAAAUGGUGAUUUCAGGAUGGGAUACCUUUAGCAAACUUCUUUUAGGGAAACGUCUGCAGCUGGCAAUCUCGUAGGCCUCGUAGUACACCAUUGACCUACCUACUCAGGGCGUACUGGUAUUAGGGUAUCUUUGCAAGAUGAUACCACUGCAUGUUCAAUGUGCACCUGUACGCUAGCACUGGCAGCAACCACAAAAACUAAACAAUAAACUUUACAUAUAAGGAAUACAUGCUAACCUUGAGCAUAAAGUCAUUAACAGAGGUCAACCUAGUAUAGAGCAUGCAAACAUAACAAAAGAUCAAAGGUGUCAUCUGAUUUGCCGAAAAAAUAAUCGUAUAUCUACGGUGAACAUUUUCAGCAAAAAAACAGCAAAUCGAUUUCAAGGAUUACAUCAUUCAAACCUUACUUUCACAUUAUAACAGAUAACAUCAACCAAACCUUUAGAGUCAACAGCUGCAAAGUCAGUUAAUGCGUACUUCAACCUUGGAGUUGAUCAACAACUACAAAGUCAAUUCAUGGAUUACAUCAUUCAAAGCCUUUUGAUUCAACAGCCGCAGAGUCACUUCAUGGAUUACUUCAUUCAAAGUCUUUAGAUUCUACAGCCACAGAGUCACUUCAUGGAUUACUUCAUUCAAAGCCUUUAGAUUCUACAGCCACAGAGUCAUUUCAUGGAUUACUUUAUUCAAAGCCUUUAGAUUCUACAGCCACAGAGUCACUUCAUGGAUUACUUCAUUCAAAGCCUUUAGAUUCUACAGCCACAGAGUCACUUCAUGGAUUACUUCAUUCAAAGUCUUUAGAUUCUACAGCCGCAGAAAAAGAUCACUGUUGAUAAAAGACUCCCGCUACCUGUCAGUUAGAUAUUUUUUCCACACUGGUGAGGUUGUGGUAAAACAGGUUACAAAGCUGCAGGAGGUACGAAGAGAAACAGGUUUUGUAAAAUAUGUUCAAUCCAAGAAUGAAAUCAAUUUCUGCUGCUCCGAUGAAUAAAAUCAACUAAUAAGAUAUACCUGCAGAGCGAGUUAUGUGAGCUUUUGAAGUCUGGGUAGAGAAAAGAUUGUGCACUUGCCUAAGAGGUAAAAUUAUGUGGGUUAACUUUUAUAUUGCAAUCUCAAGUUGAAAUUAAUUUACAUGGAUUGGAUCUGUUUCCAGAGAAGUUUGAUUGCCCAGAGUUGCAAGUUAAUUUGAUCAGCCUUCUACUCUUGAAGGAAGAAUUCAUUAGCAAUCGGACAAACUUGAGGUACACACUGUGAGAACCUUUACCUCUGGUGCUCAAGGAGGGAAUGGGUAGGGGAUUUGUGUUCAACCACAUUUUUAUAGGCGACCGACGUCAUUAAGAUGUUUUGGGAUGUAUCCUUUCGAAGGGCGCAUCAAAUAUUGCCCACGAGAUGGAUUUGUAUGAUUUCGGAUCAAUCAGUUACUGGUAAUGAUAAGGGGGAAAGUGGUCGCCCUCCCUCUUUCAAACGAGGAACUAUUCUUGGAAAUACUAUAAUUCUUUGCACUAUCAGGACUUUAGUUUCUUUCUCUCUGGGACGGAGGGUAUUCGUCAAAUGGAGUAUGGCUGAGGAUUCGAACUUUGACCUUUCUGGAUGGUUUGAAUUAGGUCGAAUAUCAAGGUCAGAUUUGGAGCAAUGUGAUCUGUGUGGCCUCGGACAUACUGUAGAUUUUGGACAGCUUUCGCUGACCCUCGACCAGACUGCUCAACAAAGAAGAAGAUUUCCAAGAAAAUGAGAAUGGUAAUUACAGAUAUGGACAGGAGGGGGCACCACUGGCAUUCCCCAAGGAAGAUUGAAAUACGGAGGAAAAGACUGCUGACAAAACUGCUUAGUGUUUUAAAAGGUAAACUGACAGUUAUAACAAUUUUAAAGUUGAUACAAAACGACAAUGAUAAUGAUGAUAACCAUACAAUGAAUGCGGAAAUUGUAAUUCAUUGGCCACUCGGUGUGAUGUCGUCACCCAGGAAUAAUGACAUCAAGCCUAAUAUAUGUCAUAUCGUUUGCUAUCAACUUAAAACCGUUUUAAAAACUGUCAGUUCACCUUAAAAUAUCAAUGUAUGUCAAUAUCAGAAGAGUCUCUUUUCAACUUAAAAUAUCAAUGUGUGUCAGUGUCAGAAGAGUCUCUUUUCACAUUAAAAUAUCAAUGUAUGUCAGUGUCAGAAGAGUCUCUUUUCAUCUUAAAAUAUCAAUGUAUGUCAAUAUCAGAAGAGUCUCUUUUCAAAUUAAAAUAUCAAUGUGUGUCAGUGUCAGAAGAGUCUCUUUUCAACUUAAAAUAUCAAUGUGUGUCAGUAUCAGAAGAGUCUCUUUUCACCUUAAAAUAUCAAUGUAUGUCAAUAUCAGAAGAGUCUCUUUUCAAAUUAAAAUAUCAAUGUGUGUCAGUGUCAGAAGAGUCUCUUUUCAACUUAAAAUAUCAAUGUGUGUCAGUAUCAGAAGAGUCUCUUUUCACCUUAAAAUAUCAAUGUAUGUCAAUAUCAGAAGAGUCUCUUUUCAAAUUAAAAUAUCAAUGUGUGUCAGUAUCAGAAGAGUCUCUUUUCACAUUAAAAUAUCAAUGUAUGUCAGUGUCAGAAAAGUCUCUUUUCAUCUUAAAAUAUCAAUGUAUGUCAGUGUCAGAAGAGUCUCUUUUCACCUUAAAAUAUCAAUGUGUGUCUGUGUCAGAAGAGUCUCUUUUCACAUUAAAAUAUCAAUGUAUGUCAGUGUCAGAAGAGUCUCUUUUCACCUUAAAAUAUCAAUGUGUGUCUGUGUCAGAAGAGUCUCUUUUCACAUUAAAAUAUCGAUGUAUGUCAAUAUCAGAAGAGUCUCUUUUCACCUUAAAAUAUCAAUGUGUGUCAAUAUCAGAAGAGUCUCUUUUCACAUUAAAAUAUCGAUGUAUGUCAAUAUCAGAAGAGUCUCUUUUCUAUGGAAUGCUAAAGCGGAAUUUAUUCAAGAUAAUUUAUAUAUAUUCAAAGUAUUAUAUAUAUUCAAGAUAAUUUAUAUAUAUUCAAGAUAUUUUUUUUUUAUUUAAGAUAUGUUUUUUUAUAUUCAAGAUAAAGAAUGUGUUCAAAAUAUUUUAUUUUCAUUCAAGAUAUUUUAUUUACAUCCAACAUAAAAUUUUUUUUACUAAGAAUUACCAGAAUAUUAUCAAAAUAAUCUUACAUUUCGAUAUUUGUGCGCCGGGUUUCUUAACCAUGUAUCAUCUUUAUAAGUUCAAUUAAGUUCAUAACAUAUGUUUAUAAGUGAUUCUAUUGUUUAGAUUUAGAUUUGAAAUUGCUUUAUUUGAAUCGAGGUCAAAAUUUAAAUUCAAAUUCAACAUUCAAGAGAAAUGGCCCCAAUGACGUCUUCAAUUUGUGUGAUCACGUGAGUCUUGAAUGGUCACGUGAAUCUUGCAUGAAUAUUUUCUAUCUUGAAUAAAUUAUAUUCAAGAUGUUGAAUUUAUAUGCAAGACCUUUUAAAUUUUGCUUCAAGAAUAACUUUAUUUUUUGUAUAUAUAUUUAUUUUUUGAUGCAAAAUAUGUUGUUAUUUCUUAGGAAGAAACAUUUUAUGUUGGAUGUAAAUAAAAUAUCUUGAAUGCAAAUAAAAUAUUUUGAACACAUUUUUUAUUUUGAAUAUAGAUAAUUAUAUCUUCAAUAAAAAAAAAAUAUCUUGAAUAAAAAAACAUAUCUUGAAUAUAUAUAAAAUAUCUUGAAUAUAUAUAAAUCAUCUUGAAUGAAUUCCGCUUUAGCAUUCCAUACUUUUCACCUUAGAUCAACGUGUCUCAGUAUCAGAAGAGUCUCUUUUAAAAACAACUUAUGGGACCAUCUUAAAAGUUACCGACAGAAAAGGAAAAUUGAAGUCUUAUUCUCGUCAACCCGGAAAAGUGAUCUCUGUCAUGGCUAUAUGAGUGAAAUUUUGUGACGACAAACUUUUAGCUGUACAGGCACAUGAAUAUCAUAAAUAAAUAAAUAGAUUAGCAAGCAUGAA